rnacentral:rRNA from 1 species
GUAGGGAAUUUUGCGCAAUGGGGGAAACCCUGACGCAGCAACGCCGCGUGAACGAGACGCCCUUCGGGGUGUAAAGUUUUGUCAGUGGGGACGAACAAAUGACGGUACCCACAGAGGAAGCACCGGCUAACUCCGUGCCAGCAGCCGCGGUAAUACGGAGGGUGCAAGCGUUGUCCGGAAUCAUUGGGCGUAAAGAGUUCGUAGGCGGCAUGUAAAGUCAGGUGUUAAAGGCUGAGGCUCAACCUCAGUAUGGCACUUGAUACUUGCAAGCUAGAAUGCGGUAGAGGUAAAGGGAAUUCCUGGUGUAGCGGUGAAAUGCUUAGAUAUCAGGAGGAACAUCGGUGGCGUAAGCGCUUUACUGGGCCGUAAUUGACGCUGAGGAACGAAAGCCAGGGUAGCAAAUGGGAUUAGAAACCCCUGUAGUCC